UACCAGCACCCCGAGUGGUCGGGACGAUUAUUGGGCCUAAAGCAUCCGUAGCCGGUCCUACAAGUCCUCCGUUAAAUCCAGCUGCUUAACAGAUGGGCUGCGGAGGAUACUAUAAGACUAGGAGGCAGGAGAGGCAAGCGGUACUCAGUGGGUAGGGGUAAAAUCCGUUGAUCCAUUGAAGACCACCAGUGGCGAAGGCGGCUUGCCAGAAUGCGCUCGACGGUGAGGGAUGAAAGCUGGGGGAGCAAACCGG
rnacentral:rRNA from 1 species